CGUGUGCUUACAAGUAGUCAGAGCCCGUUAAUGGGUGAUGGCGUGCCUUUUGUAGAAUGAACCGGCGAGUUACGAUUUGAUGCAAGGUUAAGCAGUAAAUGUGGAGCCGUAGCGAAAGCGAGUCUGAAUAGGGCGUUUAGUAUUUGGUCGUAGACCCGAAACCAGGUGAUCUACCCUUGGUCAGGUUGAAGUUCAGGUAACACUGAAUGGAGGACCGAACCGACUUACGUUGAAAAGUGAGCGGAUGAACUGAGGGUAGCGGAGAAAUUCCAAUCGAACCUGGAGAUAGCUGGUUCUCUCCGAAAUAGCUUUAGGGCUAGCCUCAAGUGAUGAUUAUUGGAGGUAGAGCACUGUUUGGACGAGGGGCCCCUCUCGGGUUACCGAAUUCAGACAAACUCCGAAUGCCAAUUAAUUUAACUUGGGAGUCAGAACAUGGGUGAUAAGGUCCGUGUUCGAAAGGGAAACAGCCCAGACCACCAGCUAAGGUCCCAAAAUAUAUGUUAAGUGGAAAAGGAUGUGGCGUUGCCCAGACAACUAGGAUGUUGGCUUAGAAGCAGCCAUCAUUUAAAGAGUGCGUAAUAGCUCACUAGUCGAGUGACACUGCGCCGAAAAUGUACCGGGGCUAAACAUAUUACCGAAGCUGUGGAUUGUCCUUUGGACAAUGGUAGGAGAGCGUUCUAAGGGCGUUGAAGCAUGAUCGUAAGGACAUGUGGAGCGCUUAGAAGUGAGAAUGCCGGUGUGAGU
rnacentral:rRNA from 1 species